AAAAGAUAUUGCUACCUCUAUAUUACACCAGUUAGGUCAGUCUAUACCUGAUAAUGUUCACCACUCAUGCACCAGUUGAUGAUGAGUCAGAAACUGAAGGGAAUCAGGCAAAGCGAAGAAAAGUAACACAGGAAUAAUUAUUAGUACUUUUUAAUUAGACCAUACACACACCUUUAUUCUUACAUGAGAGAUACAGCUAGCUUUAAUUAACUAGGUACAUAUAUACAACACAUAAGAAAGAAAAUAGGCAAAUGUUUUUAAUACUACAUGCAAAUUAAAUCUGCCACAAUUAC